rnacentral:rRNA from 1 species
GACGAACGCUGGCGGCGUGCUUAACACAUGCAAGUCGAGCGGUAAGGCCCUUUCGGGGGUACACGAGCGGCGAACGGGUGAGUAACACGUGGGUGACCUGCCCUCAGCUCUGGGAUAAGCCUGGGAAACCGGGUCUAAUACUGGAUAUGACUCCAUGACGCAUGUUGUGGGGUGGAAAGCCUUGUGCGGCUGAGGAUGGGCCCGCGGCCUAUCAGCUUGUUGGUGGGGUGANGGCCUACCAAGGCGAUGACGGUAGCCGGCCUGAGAGGCGACCGGCCACACUGGGACUGAGACACGGCCCAGACUCCUACGGGAGGCAGCAGUGGGGAAUCUUGCGCAAUGGGCGAAAGCCUGACGCAGCGACGCCGCGUGAGGGAUGACGGCCU